rnacentral:lncRNA from 1 species
UGUUUUGCCGCUCGGUUGUCCCGAUCGGCUGGAAACCGAUCGAAUAUUUUUUCGUUUAACACUACUUAUCGGGUUUCUUGAUCGGUUGAAAAUCGAUCGGAGCCUCUUUAGUGAUUUUUCAUUGUUUUGCCAAUCGGUUGGUCUGAUCGGUUGUAAACGGAUCGGAGCUCCAUUUCCGCCUUUUUGGCUCGGCUUCCUUCGCUUUGAUCUCGUGCUCUCCUGCAACUCCAAGUGUGCUGAAAUAUAUACACAAACCACAGAAGAAUGUGCAAUAUACAUUCGACAACUCUUAAAGUACUAUAAAACUCAAUAUAUCACAAAAUGACCAUAAUAUACUUAUUAUUCAAAGAAUAUGUAUAUGAAACAUACAAAUAUCAUGAGGCAAACCAUGGUGAAAUACAUGUAUAUCACCACCCCGGACUUGCUUUUUGCUUGUCCUCAACCAAACAAGUUAUCAAAUAAGCUCAAAUUAAUUUCCUGAACAAGAUUAUGCAUUUAGAAUUUUGAAGUUCAGACAUGAUUUUUGAAGAAAUGAUUUUUUUU